GGUUCUGAAAGCGGAACUGCUCUUGACGCGUAAUGUGACGAGCAUUGUAAACAAAAGUAUGGUAAAUGUUUCCCUAGCCUAGAAAAGAAGGAAUGCUGUCUCAAGAGUCUUUUCCUUGAGUAAGAGCUCCAGGAUGUUGUGUGAAAUCCUGCUCACAUCGCUAUGGCUCCUGUUUGUUAUCUUCUGGCUGGAGUUGAUAAGCCUGUGGUUGUUUCUGUCCAUGUUCUUCCAAGAUCGAGCAUUUUACCACUGGGGGGAUGGGAUGUUUGCAGAUGAUCCUGGACAGAUGAUCUACAUGUUAAGCCGCGCUGAUGCCCAGACAGAGACGCAAACCUGAGAUGGAGAAAACAAAACAAAAGAAAACAAGAAGUCCACUAAAGACUCUGAAUGGAGAGCUGAAGUAAUGUGACUGAAGAAUAUGAUAAAAGGCAGGAGCCUUUUUUUUUUUUUUUUUUUUUUUUAAUUAUCUUUUUUGUCCUGCCUGGCGCACCCUUGUGCACAGUCCACUUUCAAUAAUAGAUGGUAGAGAGGUACAGCAUGAGUGAAGGGCCAAGUUGAGAUGCAGAGGGGGGUGUGCAACAUUUAUGAUUUUUACUUUCAAAUUUUGGUGAAACAGAAUGAAUGUAAAGGAACUGUUGAUUCAGAAAAGACUAUGCUUUUUUUUUCUUUUUUUUUCUACCAUUUCAUUUUAAACUUUUUUUUUUUUUGAAAUGUUGAGAUAGUGUUUUGAUCAUGUGAUUCUAUGCAACUACAUUUGUUGCUUUUUACAGCUAUAUUCAUGCUUUCAGAAAGCUGAUUACUGUAAAUCUGUUACCAGAUUUAUUUUUUUUAUUAUCUUUUUCUUUUUAUUAUUUGUUCCAAUCAAUUAUCAGAGGUUUGUAUGUUUGAUGCUACAGCUUUUAACAAUGAGCUACUUUUGAAUGUUGGAUUUGAUGAAACACAUGUGAUGAGUGUAGAAUAGGUAAUUAAUAAUUUGAUCAAAUAUUUUUAUACACUUAACACUAAACGUUUCACCUACAGUAGAUAAAGCAUUAUUUGAGCUUGAAGGAAGUAUCUAGUAUUACAAAUUUCAGCCUUUAUCUGAUUUUGAUUAACUGUAUUACCACUCUUAUAAAAUCUUAUACCAGGUCAGAAGAUGGCAAGGGAAACGUAUUCAUUUGUAAAAGAGGAUCAAGGAAUGUAUCGGGGGAAUGGUAGCAAGUGUAUAAAGCAACUUCUUUUUUUUUUUUUUUAAAUAUAUAGAUAUAUCCAGUGCAUAAAAGGAAAAGUCCACUUUUCAAACAUAUUAGUCUCAGCUAGCCUGUGAGAUUACUUGUCUGCAAGACAUUUUUGUGUUAUCUUUAGGUGUCUGUUAAUUAAAUGGUUUCCCCUGAAACAAACAGCA